UAAGCUAUAGUUUUUAUAAAAUAUUUCUGUUACAAAGAAAAGAAAAUUAUUAAUUAAUUUAGUUUAA
rnacentral:tRNA from 1 species